rnacentral:rRNA from 1 species
GACAGAGGAUGCAAGCGUUAUCCGGAAUGAUUGGGCGUAAAGCGUCUGUAGGUGGCUUUUUAAGUCCGCCGUCAAUCCCAGGGCUCAACCCUGGACAGGCGGUGGAAACUACCAAGCUGGAGUACGGUAGGGGCAGAGGGAAUUUCCAGUGGAGCGGUGAAAUGCGUAGAUAUUGGAAAGACCACCAAUGGCGAAGGCACUCUACUGGGCCAUUACUGACACUGAGAGACGAAAGCUAGGGGAGCAAAAUGGG